AUGAACGCUAGCUACAGGCUUAACACAUGCAAGUCGAGGGGCAGCAUGAACUUAGCUUGCUAAGUUUGAUGGCGACCGGCGCACGGGUGAGUAACACGUAUCCAACCUGCCGAUGACUCGGGGAUAGCCUUUCGAAAGAAAGAUUAAUACCCGAUGGCAUAGUUCUUCCGCAUGGUAGAACUAUUAAAGAAUUUCGGUCAUCGAUGGGGAUGCGUUCCAUUAGGUUGUUGGCGGGGUAACGGCCCACCAAGCCUUCGAUGGAUAGGGGUUCUGAGAGGAAGGUCCCCCACAUUGGAACUGAGACACGGUCCAAACUCCUACGGGAGGCAGCAGUGAGGAAUAUUGGUCAAUGGACGAGAGUCUGAACCAGCCAAGUAGCGUGAAGGAUGACUGCCCUAUGGGUUGUAAACUUCUUUUAUACGGGAAUAAAGUGAGGCACGUGUGCCUUUUUGUAUGUACCGUAUGAAUAAGGAUCUGCUAACUCCGUGCCAGCAGCCGCGGUAAUACGGAGGAUCCGAGCGUUAUCCGGAUUUAUUGGGUUUAAAGGGAGCGUAGGCGGACGCUUAAGUCAGUUGUGAAAGUUUGCGGCUCAACCGUAAAAUUGCAGUUGAUACUGGGUGUCUUGAGUACAGUAGAGGCAGGCGGAAUUCGUGGUGUAGCGGUGAAAUGCUUAGAUAUCACGAAGAACUCCGAUUGCGAAGGCAGCUUGCUGGACUGUAACUGACGCUGAUGCUCGAAAGUGUGGGUAUCAAACAGGAUUAGAUACCCUGGUAGUCCACACAGUAAACGAUGAAUACUCGCUGUUUGCGAUAUACAGUAAGCGGCCAAGCGAAAGCGUUAAGUAUUCCACCUGGGGAGUACGCCGGCAACGGUGAAACUCAAAGGAAUUGACGGGGGCCCGCACAAGCGGAGGAACAUGUGGUUUAAUUCGAUGAUACGCGAGGAACCUUACCCGGGCUUGAAUUGCAACUGAAUGAUGUGGAGACAUGUCAGCCGCAAGGCAGUUGUGAAGGUGCUGCAUGGUUGUCGUCAGCUCGUGCCGUGAGGUGUCGGCUUAAGUGCCAUAACGAGCGCAACCCUUAUCGAUAGUUACCAUCAGGUUAUGCUGGGGACUCUGUCGAGACUGCCGUCGUAAGAUGUGAGGAAGGUGGGGAUGACGUCAAAUCAUCAUGCCCCUUAUGACCUGGGCUACACACGUACUACAAUGGUCGGAAACAGAGGGAAGCGAAGCCGCGAGGCAGAGCAAACCCCAGAAACCCGAUCUCAGUUCGGAUCGCAGGCUGCAACCCGCCUGCGUGAAGUCGGAAUCGCUAGUAAUCGCAGGUCAGCAUACUGCGGUGAAUACGUUCCCGGGCCUUGUACACACCGCCCGUCACACCAUGGGAGUGGGUUGCAAAAGAAGUAGGUAGCUUAACCUUCGGGAGGGCGCUUACCACUUUGUGAUUCAUGACUGGGGUG
rnacentral:rRNA from 1 species